UUCAUUUUCAUGCGACUGUAAAGUUAGUGUGAUAUGGGAAACAAAUCAAAGAAAAAUAUUGAUAAAUCUCAGAAGGAUACUCCCUUUUAAUGGAUGGACUCCAUCUACCCUUCCAUUCUGCUAUCGCGAAAGCAGGUGAUCUUGAUAAUGCUUUUUGCGAAAGUUGUUCCGCAUUCUUAUCGGAAAAUCCUAAAUCCUAUUAAAACGAAAGGAUAUGUGACAAGUAUAGCGAUUGCGUGAUUCCUUUCUAAGAGCGUUCUUAUCGGAAAAUCCUAAAUCCUAUUAAAACGAAAGGAUAUGUGACAAGUAUAGCGAUUGCGUGAUUCCUUUCUAAGAGCGUUCUUAUCGGAAAAUCCUAAAUCCUAUUAAAACGAAAGGAUAUGUGACAAGUAUAGCGAUUGCGUGAUUCCUUUCUAAGAAUGCAUUUUUUCUGUCAUGAGUCUUCGUCUUCUAUUUGCUGCCUUCGAGGUAGAAGUUUCAAAACAUUGGCAAAGACUCCUUGACAACUUCAUUCUACGAGUUAGACAUAUAUUAAGUUCUACACAUAUUGGUGUUAAUAUCUGAAUGGAGACAUAUAUUAAGUUCAACACUAAUGGAAAACCUUAUGUGGUCCUUUUUUCCAUCUUUUUAAAUGCUGUUAUGGCCAGAUGAUUCAGGCGAGGGGUAAAAGAUUAAUAUCCCUGGAACCAACUAUUCAUGGCCUCAGACUUCUUCCGGAACUUCAGUCUUUUGUGGACCGAUUCUUUUUAAUUACUCCUGUCAGCCCUGAAGCUCAUGCUGCGGUGUGCGACAUCAACGGUGGAGUAGAUGGCCGAUGUGCCGAGUUGUUUCCCAAAUAUUGAACUGAGUGCCAAAAGGGUCGGUUAAUAAAGCUGUAUCACCACCUGCAACUCAAAAUUCUGGACCUGGCUCCUCAGAAACUGGAUCAGGUGAAAUGCUGAACUGCACAAAGAAACUUUAUAUGCUGACCAUAAUGAUAUUAGCAAUAACAUUUCAAAACUGGAUUUGAAAUGGAACAUUCAAGUGUGAA